rnacentral:lncRNA from 1 species
UGACUGUGCUCUGUCAGUGUAAAAUAACAGAGCGGGGUCAUCGGAUGCUGAGAAGCAUAGGAGCUCCAAACUUCAAGUAGCUUCAGAUUAGCUCAAGAACAGUAGAGUGUAGAGAACUUUGUGGAAUGGAGAGUUUCCAUGGCCAAGCAGCUCCAUCCUUACAUUUGGCAAUAUAAUUUAGUAGGAAAAAAUGUAAUAUGCUAACAGUUCUGUUGAAUUUAUGUAACGUUCUCCAUCAAGCCAAAUGCCACAAAUGCUUGAUAUCAGCUUCCAUCUGUCUUUCUCUUUUACAGCUCGGCUUUACAGUCUUGAUGAAUCUCACCAGUGCUGCCCUGGCUUUAACUUCCAUUGGGUUCUACAUUGUAGAAUUAACAUGUAUGCCAUUUGCUUGUAAUACGGACUCUGACACCUUGGAGAUGAUGCAGAUAGGGCUGGAGAUCACCAUGAUUGUGUUGGGCGUCCUUCAGUUUUAUGUCACGGUCAGCUGGUGUGUUCUGAGCAUGCAGGUUCUGUACAAGGAGAAGAAAGGAGUCAUGAUGGUAAAGAUGUCUUUUAAAGAGUGCUGAUAAUGUUAACAUGUUAACGCAUGUGCUUAAUCUGGAA